rnacentral:rRNA from 1 species
AUUGAACGCUGGCGGCAUGCCUUACACAUGCAAGUCGAACGGUAACAGGUCUUCGGAUGCUGACGAGUGGCGAACGGGUGAGUAAUACAUCGGAACGUGCCCGACCGUGGGGGAUAACGAAGCGAAAGCUUUGCUAAUACCGCAUAAGAUCUAAGGAUGAAAGCAGGGGACCGCAAGGCCUUGCGCGAACGGAGCGGCCGAUGGCAGAUUAGGUAGUUGGUGGGAUAAAAGCUUACCAAGCCGACGAUCUGUAGCUGGUCUGGGAGGACGACCAGCCACACUGGGACUGAGACACGGCCCAGACUCCUACGGGAGGCAGCAGUGGGGAAUUUUGGACAAUGGGCGAAAGCCUGAUCCAGCCAUGCCGCGUGCAGGAUGAAGGCCUUCGGGUUGUAAACUGCUUUUGUACGGAACGAAAAGACUCUGGUUAAUACCUGGGGUCCAUGACGGUACCGUAAGAAUAAGCACCGGCUAACUACGUGCCAGCCGCCGCCGUAAUAC